CUUUUUACGUAAUGUCUCUCAAGUUCAUUUCACUUUUGUUAUGAGCAAUGCUGUGGGCGUGUCUUCCAGAGGCGUGACUAGAUGACUUGCAUAUUGUGCAUCUAAAAAGGCUGACGCAGUUGUUCGUAACGACUUUUUGUCAACCUGAUGCUUUGAAUAGAAAUAACUUGUCAAGCAUAUUCUGUCUCCUCCUCGAAGUGCAAUUAUUACAUUUUUUGUUGCCAAACAUGGGGGCUACGGCGAGUGCAACGAUUAUUUUAGUCGAAAUAGUUUCUAUGAAGGACGUGGGAAGGAUGAAACACAAGCGAGAAGGGAUGAGAUCUAGUGUUGACGACACAAUUGAUCUUAUCGACGACGAAUUGCGUAGAAACAAAGUAAAUGUUGUAAUGUUGAUCAGUUUGCUGGAGAUUUUGUCCACCGAGGAGCAAAGCUUGAUGGAACUGGACGGUGAAAUAGAACCACUCAUUUCAAAGGACGACAUUGAGAGGGAGACCAUCACAUCCGAGGCAUAUAAGAAGAAGAUCAGAAUGUGCAAAUCCCGCGCACACGCUAUGGCGAAAGCUUUAAAAUGACAUCCCAACAAAAUGUUAAUCUUUCAAUCUUGGAUUCAGCUGUAAUAGCCUCAUUGAAGCUGCUGUAUUGGACCCGCUUUGGACUGGACUCUCGCGACUGUGUUGGAUCCAUUGUGGAUUGAACUCUCACAGUAUCAUGUUAGACCCGCUCGACAUCCAUCGCUUUCCUCCUCUCUAAGGUUCUCAUAGUCAUCAUUGUCACCGACGUCCCACUGGGUCAUUAUUGUCACCGAUGUCCCACUGGGUGUGAGUUUUCCUUACCCUUAUGUGGGCCUACCGAGGAUGUCGUGGUGGUUUGUGCAGCCCUUUGAGACACUAGUGAUUUAGGGCUAUAUAAGUAAACAUUGAUUGAUUGAUUGAAGACCUGCUUGGUUGCUUAUCAGCUGGGCACUUACAUUCUCUCCCCUUAGUCAUUAUUAUAAGUGGUUUAUGUUGCUGAACGAGUGUGGUGUUCCAAGGAGGCAAUACAAAUGGGUGGAGGACAAGCUGCAUGGAGUACAGGACAUCUGCAAGCUGCACACUCUUUUCAUUCAACCUAUGUUGCAAUCUUCUAUAUUUACUCUUGGGCUAUGUUUGAUCAUUUAUACUGCUAUAAUCAACAUUAAGGCAUAUAUAUUGGAAGGUUGGCUAGUGGUAUUCGCGACUUUUUAGCAUAUAUUUGAAAAGUACUGUCUUGCUAUUCAAUUUUCUUUGCAAUAAAUGUGUUUUCCUGAAAGACAA